UGCUGGGACUGACAGGGUUUGGAUACGAUGGAAUAUGACCUCAGGGAAAUGAAAUCUGCUCAGUUACAGUCCGUGUGGACUUGUUGUUUAAAUCCUUCGGAGUAACAUCUGUAACCCUCUUACAUGGAGUCGUACUUCAGAGGCGUGGGACCUCCUGCAGAGUUUAUAAAGGAAGUGGCACUGCUUCAGCCUGCAGCCACAGUGGUAGGUGCUGUGAGCAGGGGGCGGGUGGGCCCUCUGCCCAGAGGCCUGAGUGAAAUCCAGAGGGAGCACGAAGCCUGGCCCAGAGUACUAAGCGCGUUCCCGUCUCGGCUCAGGCUCCUGGACCAGGCCUGGCAGGCUAGGCCUGGGGCACAUGGAGGGGAUGGAGGCAGUGGUCUCUGCCCACUGCGCUGCGUGUUAGUCACGGGCGCCCAGGCCUGCCCUGCCCUGGGGACCGGGCUCUGAGGGCCGUGUCUGUAAGGCACACAGGAUGGAGAAUGGUGGGUGGGUCUGAAGGGCUUCCCUACUCAGCGGGAGCUUCUCUGACAGGUGAGGGAGGGCCACUGAGGGUCCUUCCGGCUGCUCCAUGGGCGGUGAUGUUUAGAGAUGCUCUGGCUGCGGCAGGAGGUGUGGAGGCCGAGAGGGAGCAGCCCGGUGUGGAGCAGGAGUCAGAGGUGGGCGCAGGGUGGGGGUAGGAGUGGGGGGUCCUGGCCCUGGGAGAGGGAGGUGGGCACGAUCUAGAAGGCCGGUGACUCUAAGGGUGUGGCCUCCGGGGGGAUUCUGGAAGCGGCGUGAGUGGCACCCCGGCGCCUGGUCUGGGCACAGCUCGGGGAGGUUAGAAAGGCCUGGUGAGUGUGGAGUGUGUCCUGCCGCCCGCCCGUGGGCCCUGGCAGAGGGCGCGGCGGGGCUGGGCUCUCUGGAGCUCAGACACUAAGAAGAUGUUUCCUCCUGAGGACACGUCCUGAGACACUGAGAGGCCCAAGGGCUGGGGCAUUUCAGGCCGGCGGCUCGCUGGAUGGACUCCCUGGGGCUCACGCGGCCUCUGGGACUCUUGAACUGGGCGCUGCACCCACAGGGAGGCGUGCGUGCGAGCAGCGCCCAGAGCUGGGAGCCGGCUCGGAAGGGCCUAGUAGUGUAUAAGGCACCAAGCUGAGAAUCGGGCUUAGAUCUAAAAAUAAAUAAAUAAAUAACCCCUUUUUAGUCCUAAAUUUCUUUUCCUUGGAAAAUUUGCCAAUUACAUGAUAAUCAUUUUAUUAAAAUCCCUUUAAAAUUGUAAUGAAAUGUUAUUUAUUCUAAUUGUUACAUUUUAGAAGCCAUUCUUUUGUAUUCUGUGUGUUUUAAAGCAGAAUCCUGAAGUGCUUGAAAAUUCCAACCCCCAGCACACAGCUCAGAGGUAAACCACAAGCCUAGUCUUUCACGGCCGCAUGCAAGCACCAGAUGUAUACACAACCUGUAGUGCGGUCUACAUCGCUGGCCAGCAGAUGGGCUCAAGAUAAACUGUCAGUCCAAGAAAAUCUGCAUAUAAGAGACGGAAACUCAAGUCAUCUUUAAUGCUUAUGUCCCACUGCUUGCUCUUCCUGCUGUGCUUUUAAAAGCACUCAGCCUCUGGAUUCAACGUUCCCGAAUGCGCUACAGAAACAUUCCCAAGCAGAUGGUCACAGAUGGGCGUGAAGGGGACGCUCCUGCCUCCUCCUCCAGCAUCUCACACUCUAACUGGCCCACGCGUUUCAGCAGGUGCUGCGCUGGCUCCCCACUCGCCAGAGGCCCCAUAGUGUUGCUCCAUCGAAGCUGCCCCCCGUCUGUCACACCCACAGACGGGUGUCACCCACACAGCCUUUCUCUUUGCACCAUUUACACACGAAGAGGCGAUGGAAUCCAUAUGUCACCCCAACACACAUAGAAUGA